GACGAACGCUGGCGGCGUGCUUAACACAUGCAAGUCGAACGGAAAGGCUCCAGCUUGCUGGAGUACUCGAGUGGCGAACGGGUGAGUAACACGUGGGUAAUCUGCCCUGCACUCUGGGAUAAGCCUGGGAAACUGGGUCUAAUACUGGAUAUGACCUUUCUCCUUAUGGGGUUUGGUGGAAAGUUUUUCGGUGUAGGAUGAGCCCGCGGCCUAUCAGCUUGUUGGUGGGGUGAUGGCCUACCAAGGCGACGACGGGUAGCCGGCCUGAGAGGGUGAUCGGCAACAUUGGGACUGAGAUACGGCCCAGACUCCUACGGGAGGCAGCAGUGGGGAAUAUUGCACAAUGGGCGGAAGCCUGAUGCAGCGACGCCGCGUGAGGGAUGACGGCCUUCGGGUUGUAAACCUCUUUCAGCAGGGACGAAGCGUAAGUGACGGUACCUGCAGAAGAAGCACCGGCUAACUAUGU
rnacentral:rRNA from 1 species